CUUUAACAGAACCCUUCGGGGCGAAGAUAAAGUGGAUUAGCGGCGGACGGGUGAGUAACACGUGAGUAACCUGCCUUAGACAUUGGGAUAGCCUCGGGAAACCGGGAUUAAUACCAAAUAAAAUCAUAAUGACACAUGUCAUAACGAUCAAAACUCCGGUGGUCUAAGAUGGACUCGCGUCCCAUUAGCUAGUUGGUAGAGUAAAAGCCUACCAAGGCGACGAUGGGUAGCCGGCCUGAGAGGGUGAACGGCCACAUUGGAACUGAGAAACGGUCCAAACUCCUACGGGAGGCAGCAGUGGGGAAUAUUGCACAAUGGAGGGAACUCUGAUGCAGCGACGCCGCGUGAACGAAGAAGGCUUUCGAGUCGUAAAGUUCUUUUAUAUGGGAAGAUAAUGACGGUACCAUAAGAAAAAGCCCCGGCUAACUACGUGCCAGCAGCCGCGGUAAUACGUAGGGGGCUAGCGUUGUCCGGAAUCACUGGGCGUAAAGGGUUCGCAGGCGGAAAUGCAAGUCAGAUGUAAAAGGCAGUAGCUUAACUACUGUAAGCAUUUGAAACUGCAUAUCUUGAGAAGAGUAGAGGUAAGUGGAAUUUUUAGUGUAGCGGUGAAAUGCGUAGAUAUUAAAAAGAAUACCGGUGGCGAAGGCGACUUACU
rnacentral:rRNA from 2 species